rnacentral:rRNA from 1 species
GAAAAGCCUUAUUUCGGUAGGGCGAGUAAAGUGGCGCACGGGUGAGUAACGCGUAGGCAACUACCCCUGGAUACGGGAUAACACUUCGAAAGGGGUGCUAAUACCGGAUAAGACCUUUUGGCGGGAGCUGGGAGGUGAAAGUGGGCUGAUCCGUUUGGAAGCUCACGUUUGGGGAAGGGCCUGCGUCCUAUCAGCUAGUUGGUGAGGUAACGGCUCACCAAGGCGACGACGGGUAGCUGGUCUGAGAGGAUGAUCAGCCACACUGGCACUGGAACACGGGCCAGACUCCUACGGGAGGCAGCAGUGAGGAAUUUUGCGCAAUGGGAGCAAUCCUGACGCAGCAACGCCGCGUGGGUGAUGAAGGCCUUCGGGUCGUAAAGCCCUGUCAGGUGGGAAGAAAACCUCGGGAGCGAAUAGAGCUCGAGCUUGACGGUACCACCAGAGGAAGCACCGGCUAACUCCGUGCCAGCAGCCGCGGUAA